rnacentral:rRNA from 1 species
CCCCUUUCCAAUCACAUGUUCCUCCCCAAAACGUUAAAAAACAAAAAACCCAAAAAAAUCCAAGUAUAGAAGAUGCUCCCGUCGAAGGUUCGAGAUUUUUACUUGUGAAAAUCACUCUCGCCAUAAUAUUUCAGAUUGGCGAUGAAAUGCAGCCCGCAUGUGCAAAAGUCUCGGCCAAAAGCAUCUGGACGGGGGAGCAUUAAAAUCCAAAAAAGAGUUAAUUCAUCCCUUCAUGCGCUUGCCGUUCAAUGCGCUUGGCCUCGAUCUUACCACAAUAAAAAACAAAGGGAAAAUCUUAACACUUGGUUGGAUGAUGGAAAGUCGAGCCAGCAUAAGUACUACUUGGACCAUCAGUUCAUUAGAACUCGAGCUAGCAUCAAUCAGACUGACUUGGACAGUCCAGUCCAUCAAAACUUCGAGCUUAUGUCCAGAUCAGUACAUGGAUCAGUCCGGGAAGGGCCAGCGUGCUGAUAUGUGUACUGACAUGGUGCAUCAGUUGUCCAAAAUCAGUACACGGACAGUCCAUGGGAAGGACCAGCAUGCUGAUAUGUGUGGUCAGCAUGCUGAUAUAUGAACUGAUGGGCAGUCCACGGACUGUCCGUGUGUCUUGACGGACAGGCACGCGGGCGUCCUGCGUGUGCUGACGGGCGUCCCUGUGUGUACUGAACAGACAGCCCACGUGGGCAAAAAAAUCACCCGAACAGUCCACGGGAAGGGCCAGCGUGCUGAUAUGUGUACUGAUGGGCGGCCACGGGCGUCCAUGCAUCGCGACAGACGGCCACGGGCGUCUGGCAGUAAUGGCGGACGGGCGUCCCGAGUAUAUCGACGGGCGUCCCUUUGUGUACUGACGGACACACGGACACGAGCGGACAGCCACGGGCGCCCCUGCGUGUGCUGACGGGCGUCUGUGUGUGCUGACGGACGUCUGUGUGUGUCUUGACGGAUGGCCACGGGCGUCCUGUGUGUAUCGCGGACGGCCCACGGGCGUCUGUGGUAUGCGACGGACGUCUGUGUGUAAUCGGCGGACACACGCACACACGGACAGCCACGGACAUCCUGCGUGUGCUGGCGGGCGUCCGUGUUGCUGGCGGGCGUCUGUGUAAUGUGUCGACGGACGUCCCGUGUGUAUGACUUGACGGACACACGGACACACGAACAACCCACGAGGCGUCUGCGUGUCGGACGGCGGGCGUCUGUGCGUCACGAGCGGCGUCCGUGUGUGUCGGACGGGCGUCCUGUGUGUACUGGCGGACACAUGGACACACACGGACAGCCCACAGGCGUCCUGCGUGUGCUGACGGACGUCUGUGUGUACUGAUGGACGUCGUAUUAUGCGGCGGACACACGGACAGCCACGGGCGUCCCUGCGUGUGCUGACGACGGGCGGUCACGCGGGCGUCCUGGUGUGUAUGACGGACGGACGUCCUGUGUGUAUGAGCGGGCGUCCUGUGUGUAUUGAGCGGACACACGGACACACACGGACAAACCACGGACGUCUGCGUGUGCUGGACGGGCGGCCACGGACGUCUGUAAUGUACUUGACCGGACGUCCCGUAUUAUCUUGACAGGCGUCCUGUGUGUCUUGACGGACACACGGACACACGGACAGCCCACGGGCGUCCCUGCGUGUGCUGGACGGGCGGCCCACGGGCGUCCUGUGUACUCGACGGACGCCCGUGUGUGUACUGGUACGGACAAGGGGAAUCCGACUGUUUAAUUAAAACAAAGCAUUGCGAUGGUCCCUGCGGAUGCCAACGCAAUGUGAUUUCUGCCAGUGCUCUCGAAUGUCAAAGUGAAGAAAUUCAACCAAGGCUGGUAAACGCGGGAGUAACUAUGACUCUCUUAAGGUAGCCAAAUGCCUCGUCAUCUAAUUAGUGACGCGAUGAAUGGAUUAACGAGAUUCCCACCGUCCCCAUCUACUAUCCAGUGAAACCACAGCCAAGGGGCGGGCUUGGCAGAAUCAGCGGGAAAGAAGACCUGUUGAGCUUGACUCUAGUCCGACUUUGUGAAAUGACUUGAGAGGUGUAGAAUAAGUGGGAGCUCUGGCGCAAGUGAAAUACCACUACUUUUAACGUUAUUUUACUUACUCCGUGAAUCGAGGCUGGUAACAACCCCUUCUUUUAGACCCAAGACUUCGCCCGGCGGGUCGAUCCCGGCGGAGGACAUUGUCAGGUGGGGAGUUUGGCUGGGGCGGCACAUCUGUUAAAAUAUAACGCAGGUGUCCUAAGAUGAGCUCAACGAGAACAGAAAUCUCGUGUGGAACAAAAGGGUAAAAGCUCGUUUGAUUCUGAUUUUCAAUACGAAUCCGAACCGUGGCGUGGCCUAUCAAUCCUUUAGACCUUGAAUUUGAAGCUAGAGGUGUCAGAAAAGUUACCACAGGGAUAACUGGCUUGUGGCGCCAGCGUUCAUAGCGGCGUGGCUUUUUGAUCCGCCGAUGUCGGCUCUUCCUAUCAUUGUGAAGCAGAAUUCACCAAGUGUUGGAUUGCUCACCCACCAAUAGGGAACGUGAGCUGGGUUUAGACCGUCGUGAGACAGGUUAGUUUUACCCUACUGAUGCCAGCGUUGCAAUAGUAAUUCAACCUAGUAACGAGAGGAACCAUUGAUUCGCACAAUUGGUCAUCGGCGGCUUGGUUGAAAAGCCGAUGGGUGAAGCUACCGUGGCGCUGGAUUAUGACUGAACGCCUCUAAGUCAGAAUCCGGGCUAGAAGCGACGCAUCGCCCGCCCGCCGAUUGCCGACCCUCAGUAGGAGCUUCGGCUCCCAAAGGCGCGUGUCGUUGGCUAAGUCCGUUCGGGCGGAAGCGCCGUUCGACCGCCUUUGAAUUAUAAUUACCACCCCGGCGGCGGGUAGAAUCCUUUGCGGGCGACUUAAAUACGCGAUGGGGUAUUGUAAGUGGCAGAGUGGCCUUGCUGCCACGAUCCACUGAGAUUCAGCCCUUUGU